rnacentral:rRNA from 1 species
GACGAACGCUGGCGGCGCGCCUAACACAUGCAAGUCGAACGAGCGAGAGAGAGCUUGCUUUCUUGAGCGAGUGGCGAACGGGUGAGUAACGCGUGAGGAACCUGCCUCAAAGAGGGGGACAACAGUUGGAAACGACUGCUAAUACCGCAUAAGCCCACGACCCGGCAUCGGGUAGAGGGAAAAGGAGUGAUCCGCUUUGAGAUGGCCUCGCGUCCGAUUAGCUAGUUGGUGAGGUAACGGCCCACCAAGGCGACGAUCGGUAGCCGGACUGAGAGGUUGAACGGCCACAUUGGGACUGAGACACGGCCCAGACUCCUACGGGAGGCAGCAGUGGGGAAUAUUGCACAAUGGGGGAAACCCUGAUGCAGCGACGCCGCGUGGAGGAAGAAGGUCUUCGGAUUGUAAACUCCUGUUGUUGAGGAAGAUAAUGACGGUACUCAACAAGGAAGUGACGGCUAACUACGUGCCAGCAGCCGCGGUAAAACGUAGGUCACAAGCGUUGUCCGGAAUUACUGGGUGUAAAGGGAGCGCAGGCGGGAAGACAAGUUGGAAGUGAAAUCCAUGGGCUCAACCCAUGAACUGCUUUCAAAACUGUUUUUCUUGAGUAGUGCAGAGGUAGGCGGAAUUCCCGGUGUAGCGGUGGAAUGCGUAGAUAUCGGGAGGAACACCAGUGGCGAAGGCGGCCUACUGGGCACCAACUGACGCUGAGGCUCGAAAGUGUGGGUAGCAAACAGGAUUAGAUACCCUGGUAGUCCACACCGUAAACGAUGAUUACUAGGUGUUGGAGGAUUGACCCGUUCAGUGCCGCAGUUAACACAAUUAAGUAAUCCACCUGGGGAGUACGACCGCAAGGUUGAAACUCAAAGGAAUUGACGGGGGCCCGCACAAGCAGUGGAGUAUGUGGUUUAAUUCGACGCAACGCGAAGACCCUUACCAAGUCUUGACAUCCUGCGAUGGUGCUGGAAACAGUACUUUCCUUCGGGACGCAGAGACAGGUGGUGCAUGGUUGUCGUCAGCUCGUGUCGUGAGAUGUUGGGUUAAGUCCCGCAACGAGCGCAACCCUUAUGGUCAGUUACUACGCAAGAGGACUCUGGCCAGACUGCCGUCGACAAAACGGAGGAAGGUGGGGAUGACGUCAAAUCAUCAUGCCCCUUUAUGACUUGGGCUACACACGUACUACAAUGGCGUUAAACAAAGAGAAGCAAGACCGCGAGGUGGAGCAAAACUCAGAAACAACGUCCCAGUUCGGACUGCAGGCUGCAACUCGCCUGCACGAAGUCGGAAUUGCUAGUAAUCGCAGAUCAGCAUGCUGCGGUGAAUACGUUCCCGGGCCU